CCGCGUGUGGCGAAAUUAGUAAACGUAGUGGACUCAAAAUCUAUUGGUGAAAACCUUGUCAGUUCAAGUCUGACCGCUCAGACCA
rnacentral:tRNA from 3 species